AGUCACUGUUGUUGGGCUGUGUCUUCGUUCAUGUUGAAGAGGAUCACUAGCAGUCUGGUGAAAAGCGCUGUGAUGGAUAUGGCAGUGAUUCUCUGCCCGUUGAAUGUCACGACGCCGACCACCCCGAGAGGUUCCUCGUAACCGACGUGUACACCAAAUCGUCUAAGGAGAUUCCUCGGAGACGUCAGUACACUCAGCAGUGUGUUGAAGACUGUGCCGCUGACUCUGUCCAUGCUGUUGUCUGGCUCGACCUGUUGAAACUUGAUCCCGGGAGUAAAGUUGGGUGAAUUUCAGACAGAGUUAAGUAAGAUUCUCCGCGUUAAUUCUUACUAUCUUUCCGGGAUUUUGAUUAGUUUUCGUGGCCGGAGGUAAUGUGUUCUUUUUUGUCUCUCAUGUAAGCUUGAUGCUUGUCACACAUAGUGCUGCCCCAUAACGUUAAUAGUUUAAAAACAGACUACAACCAGCAGUGGUUCUCGGUCACCCAAAGAGGGAGCCUCUGCCUCUGUGUCGAUCUGCCUCACCAGUCGCGGCCUCUCUGUCAGCUUCAUACACGGGAUCAGAGAGUGUGGGAGAAAGACGCCAAGGCGUGUGCCGAGACGACUCACUGCCUCUGCCUAGAGAGACUUUGCCACGACAGACAACGACUCGCCAUGGUCCCCGCUGGAUGAUUCCGCCAUUUUAUGGAAUGAAGAGGCCGUGUAUUUCAGCCUUGAAUCCGAUUGUCAGAACAUUGUCGAGUGAAUACGAAGCUUUUUAAAUUGGUUGGAAGAAUCACCAGGCACGGAAACCCUCUUUAAAAGCUGGUUGUCCCUCGUUUUUAACUUUUUCACCACUUUUUGCUGCCUCCUUAAAGUCGAGCUGCUCGUCGAUAGUGGAAUUGAGCCCUGCAUUGAAGUUCGAGUCAUGAGCACUUUUAGAGAGACACAGCAGGUUAACCAUGAGGUGAGUGGUGAUCAGAUGAGCAAACGUGAAAAAGAGGUUUCUCUUACAAUCAGAAUAUUUUGUAUGAUUAAUGUCGAAAAUAUGGAAAAGAAUAAAAAAU